rnacentral:rRNA from 1 species
GGGCAGCAAUGUCACCGUCGCACGGGUGCGUAACGCGUAUGCAACCUACCUAUCACAGGGGGAUAGCCUUUGGAAACAGGGAUUAAUACCGCAUAAAGCAGGGGCUCCGCAUGGAGAUAUUGCUAAAGAUUUAUCGGUGAUAGAUGGGCAUGCGUCUGAUUAGUUAGAUGGUGGGGUAACGGCCUACCAUGGCGAUGAUCAGUAGGGGGCGUCAGAGCGUGGUCCCCCACACUGGCACUGAGAUACGGGCCAGACUCCUACGGGAGGCAGCAGUAGGGAAUAUUGGGCAAUGGAUGCAAGUCUGACCCAGCCAUGCCGCGUGAAGGAAGAAGGUCCUCUGGAUUGUAAACUUCUUUUGUCGGGGAAGAAGAGUCAUCUUGCGAGGUGAUGUGACGGUACCCGAUGAAUAAGCCACGGCUAACUACGUGCCAGCAGCCGCGGUAAUACGUAGGUGGCAAGCGUUGUCCGGAUUUAUUGGGUUUAAAGGGUGCGUAGGUGGUUUAAUAAGUCAGUGGUGAAAGCUGGUUGCUCAACAAUCAAGUUGCCAUUGAUACUGUUAGACUUGAGAGAAGUGGAGGCUGGUGGAAUGGAUGGUGUAGCGGUGAAAUGCAUAGAUAUCAUCCAGAACGUCAAUUGCGAAGGCAGCUGGCUGUACUUUUUCUGACACUGAGGCACGAAAGUGUGGGGAUCAAACAGGAUUAGAUACCCUGGUAGUCCACACUGUAAACGAUGCGGACUAGCUU